GAUGAACACUGACAGAAUGCUUAACACAUGCCAGUCAACUGUGGCGGACGGGUGAGUAACGCGUAAAGAACUUGCCUCACAGCUAGGGACAACAUUUGGAAACGAAUGCUAAUACCUGCUACUGUGAGAGAGCUUUGCGUCCCAUUCGCUAGUUGGAGAGGUAACGGCUCACAAAGGCGAUGAUGGGUAGCCGGCCUGAGAGGGUGAUCGGCCACAAGGGGACUGAGACACGGCCCUUACUCAGACGGGAGGCAGCAGGGGGGAAUAUUGGACAAUGGACCAAAGUCUGAUCCAGCAAUGCGGUGUGCACGAUGAAGUUUUCGGAAUGUAAAGUGCUUUCAGUUGGGAAGCGGUACCAACAGAAGAAGUGACGGCUAAAUACGUGCCAGCAGCCGCGGUAAUAC
rnacentral:rRNA from 1 species